UUUUUGAUUUGUGAGGAAUGUAAUUGUGUCGCGAUAAUGUCAAGGUCAUGUUAGCUUAUAAUGAAAUAUUUCCUUCAAGAUAAGUUUCAAGGAUCAGGGAUAUGAAUUUGAUUACUCAGGAACUCAAAGUUUUUAAAUCCUUGAGUAGAACGGGAUACGUGGAACUCUGCUUGAAUGUGGAGAGACCAUCUUGUAAGUCUAAAUACUCCUUGACGACCGAUAGUGGACAGUACCGUGAGGGAAAGGUGAAAAGAUCCCUGGGAGGGAAGU
rnacentral:ncRNA from 1 species